rnacentral:rRNA from 1 species
UACAGAGGGGGCGAGCGUUGUUCGGAAUUACUGGGCGUAAAGGGCGCGUAGGCGGCCUGCUAAGUCGAACGUGAAAUCCCUGGGCUCAACCCAGGAACUGCGUCCGAUACUGGUUGGCUUGAAUCCGGGAGAGGGAUGUGGAAUUCCAGGUGUAGCGGUGAAAUGCGUAGAUAUCUGGAGGAACACCGGUGGCGAAGGCGACAUCCUGGACCGGUAUUGACGCUGAGGCGCGAAAGCCAGGGGAGCAAACGGG